GCGCGAGUGGUGAAAUUGGCAUACACGUCACUUUUAGGUAGUGAUGUCCUUACGGACGUGGGGGUUCGAGUCCCCCCUCGCGCACCG
rnacentral:tRNA from 1 species